rnacentral:lncRNA from 1 species
AUGCCACACUCACCUAGCUUCCGGGCCGGGCUCCGCGUUCCUUCCCUCCCUCCCUCCUCCUCUGCCUUCUCGCAUCUUCCUUCCUCCUCUUUCCCUCCCUCGCUUUCUUUCUUUCCUUCCUCCUCCUCUUCCCCGGCGGCCCCUCCCUUCUUCCCUCCUCCCUCGCUCGCCUCCCUUUCUGGGGAUGGGAGCCCCGCCCACAUCCUCCCCUCCAGCCUCCCGACCUCGCCUAGCAGGCCCGGGUCCCGGAAGCCCAGGCAGCGCCCGAGUCCGCAGCUGCCGUCCGAGCUGGGACGCCGAUGCCUCCACCUCUGGGAAGCGGCUGGGGCUCACCUGGGGACCACGUGCGGAGUGUGCGGGAACAGUGUGACCUAAACAAGAACAUACUAUAACUGUAGGAUGAGUGACACUUGGAAGCAGAGGCAGAGUGCUACAUGGACACCUGACUGUACCAAAUGGUUAUUGUGGUUUCCCAAUCAGGUGCCAAUUGCGGAAUACCAGCUAAUAUUCUACCCUGAAUUCAUGCUAAAAGCUUUCCAGUCUUUCUCAAGGAAACCUGUCCAAAGGGAUAUGUGAUUCAAGGAAUUGUUACUGUAUAAGUAAAACUUGGAUGUUUUUACUAAUAAUCCACAUAUUUCACAGCCCUUUGGUGGAGAGCCUUUUUCAUUAAUGUUCUGUUCAAGAAUAAUUGCA